rnacentral:rRNA from 1 species
UGAAGCUUCGGUGGAUUUACUGGACGUCGAGCGGCGGACGGGUGAGUAACGGCUGGGAACCUGCCCUGACGAGGGGGAUAACCGUUGGAAACGACGGCUAAUACCGCAUAAUGUCUACGGACCAAAGGUGGCCUCUACAUGUAAGCUAUCGCGUUGGGAUGGGCCCAGUUAGGAUUAGCUAGUUGGUAAGGUAACGGCUUACCAAGGCGACGAUCCUUAGCUGGUUUGAGAGGAUGAUCAGCCACACUGGGACUGAGACACGGCCCAGACUCCUACGGGAGGCAGCAGUGGGGAAUAUUGCACAAUGGGGGAGACCCUGAUGCAGCCAUGCCGCGUGUGUGAAGAAGGCCUUCGGGUUGUAAAGCACUUUCAGCAGUGAGGAAGGUAGUGUACUUAAUACGUGCAUUGCUUGACGUUAGCUGCAGAAGAAGCACCGGCUAACUCCGUGCCAGCAGCCGCGGUAAUACGGAGGGUGCGAGCGUUAAUCGGAAUUACUGGGCGUAAAGCGCAUGCAGGCGGUUUGUUAAGUCAGAUG